rnacentral:misc_RNA from 1 species
UCUGGAGGAGCAAAUGCAAUCGCAGAAUCAGAAAAUCCAAGAUUUGAGUGCAGGGCUGCAUAGAAUGGAAGAAAUGAUGAGCCAUAGAAUGGAGGAGAUGAUGAGUCAAAUGAUGGAAUUGAUGAAGCCGUCGCAAGGGAAAGGUAAGGAGCCUGUGGUCCCUGAAACUCAAUCUAAUGUGAAUGGAACUAGGGUCAAUCCUAUUGAAAUUGGAGCAAAUAGUAAUGAAGGAAGGGGUAUUUUGCCGCUGCCGAAGGGGG